rnacentral:misc_RNA from 1 species
GAUGAAGAACGCAGCAAAAUGCGAUACUUGGUGUGAAUUGCAGAAUCCCGUGAACCAUCGAGUUUUUGAACGCAAGUUGCGCCCGAAGCCUUUUGGCCGAGGGCACGUCUGCCUGGGCAUCACGCAUCGCGUCGCCCCCCACAAAUUCUCCUCAGGGGAGCUUGUGUUUCGGGGGCGGAUACUGGUCUCCCGUGCUCAUGGCGCGGUUGGCCGAAAUAGGAGUCCCUUCGAUGGACGCACGAACUAGUGGUGGUCGUAAAAACCCUCGUCUUUUGUUUCGUGCCGUUAGUCGCGAGGGAAGCUCUUCAAAAGCCCCAGCGCGUCGUCUCUUGACGGCGCUUCGACCGCGACCCCAGGUCAGGCGGGACUACCCGCUGAGUUUAAGCAUAUCAAUAAGCGGAGGA